GAAGCCAGACUUAAAGGGGAAGCAGGCUGUCCCCGGGACGCUCUGGUCACCCAGUGAGAUGAUGCCAGUCAGGGUUCCCUGAGUCCACAGUGAGCCACAGGGGGUGGCCGAGAUCAUCCUGUGCCUAGCACGGGAGGGCUCUGGUGGGUCACUUGCUGCUGAGCCUGCAGAGGUACACGAUCCUGAUUCGAUCCAGUUCACACCAGCCUCCACUGUAUGGACACCACUGUACGGGUGCCGUGGUGAUGAUGACGGGGAGAGCCGCCUGUGCUCAAGCCGGGGGCGGCCACAGUGACAGGAGAGGAGCUUCCAGCUUUACCAGAAGAGCAGGAGCAGACGAAGGCAGCAAAGCCACAGGCGGCACUGCACUGGGGAUGGGACGUCCGGAACGGUACCAGACAUAGCGUGAUUGAGCAGAGUGG